rnacentral:rRNA from 1 species
GCAUAUCAAUAAGCGGAGGAAAAGAAACCAACCGGGAUUGCCCCAGUAACGGCGAGUGAAGCGGCAAGAGCUCAAAUUUGAAAUCUGGCCCCUCCGGGGUCCGAGUUGUAAUUUGCAGAGGAUGCUUCGGGUGCGGCCCCUGUCUAAGUGCCCUGGAACGGGCCGUCAGAGAGGGUGAGAAUCCCGUCUUGGGCAGGGUGCCCGUGCCCGUGUGAAGCUCCUUCGACGAGUCGAGUUGUUUGGGAAUGCAGCUCUAAAUGGGUGGUAAAUUUCAUCUAAAGCUAAAUACCGGCCGGAGACCGAUAGCGCACAAGUAGAGUGAUCGAAAGAUGAAAAGCACUUUGAAAAGAGAGUUAAACAGCACGUGAAAUUGUUGAAAGGGAAGCGCUUGCGACCAGACUCGGCCUCGGGGUUCAGCCAGCAUUCGUGCUGGUGUACUUCCCCGGGGCCGGGCCAGCGUCGGUUCGGGCGGCCGGUCAAAGGCCCCAGGAAUGUAUCGUCCUCCGGGACGUCUUAUAGCCUGGGGUGCAAUGCGGCCAGCCUGGACCGAGGAACGCGCUUCGGCACGGACGCUGGCGUAAUGGUCACAAACGACCCGUCUUGAAACACGGACCAAGGAGUCUAACAUCUACGCGAGUGUUCGGGUGUCAAACCCGUACGCGCAGUGAAAGCGAACGGAGGUGGGAGCCCCUUUGGGGCGCACCAUCGACCGAUCCUGAAGUCUUCGGAUGGAUUUGAGUACGAGCGUAGCUGUGGGGACCCGAAAGAUGGUGAACUAUGCCUGAAUAGGGUGAAGCCAGAGGAAACUCUGGUGGAGGCUCGCAGCGGUUCUGACGUGCAAAUCGAUCGUCAAAUUUGGGUAUAGGGGCGAAAGACUAAUCGAACCAUCUGGUAGCUGGUUCCUGCCGA